AUAGAGCAACACCAACAUGUUACAUUUCAGAUGAGGGAAUCAGAUUAUUUUUUAGUCACCCUAAGACAUUUGUUGUGCAAAGGACCUAAAGCUUGCCAUUUCAUUUCCUCGGAAACUUCUCUGACACCAGUCUCUUUUACAAGCAGAAACAGGGAUUUUCUGGCACUUAGAAGAGAAAGAGCUGAGGCACAGAAAGGCAGAAUCACAAACAUGAAGGCAAGAAAAGCUUUGAUGGGCAAGAGAGAGAUUGAGAGAGAAGGAGUGCUGAAAAAAUGGCAUCAUCCGCUGGAUACUCCUCGGGGUGUGGAGAAUGAGACUUUGCCUGGCCUGCUUUUGAGUCACAGCUGGAUAAGUCAUUAAGUUAUUACUACUGCAUAUAUAAUGAGAUUGGUUUUCAGACUCAUUUUUGCUUACCCAUUUUCUGAUAUUGUUUAACUGUGGCUUAAAAAGAAAAAUAUAAU